rnacentral:rRNA from 1 species
UCUAGCCAUGCCGCGUGAGUGAUGAAGGCCUUAGGGUCGUAAAGCUCUUUCGCCUGUGAUGAUAAUGACAGUAGCAGGUAAGAAACCCCGGCUAACUCCGUGCCAGCAGCCGCGGUAAUACGGAGGGGGUUAGCGUUGUUCGGAAUUACUGGGCGUAAAGCGCGCGUAGGCGGAUUAGAAAGUUGGGGGUGAAAUCCCGGGGCUCAACCUCGGAACUGCCUCCAAAACUGCUAGUCUAGAGUUCGAGAGAGGUGAGUGGAAUUCCGAGUGUAGAGGUGAAAUUCGUAGAUAUUCGGAGGAACACCAGUGGCGAAGGCGGCUCACUGGCUCGAUACUGACGCUGAGGUGCGAAAGUGUGGGGAGCAAACAGGAUUAGAUACCCUGGUAGUCCACACCGUAAACGAUGAAUGCCAGUCGUCGGGUAGUAUACUAUUCGGUGACACACCUAACGGAUUAAGCAUUCCGCCUGGGGAGUACGGUCGCAAGAUUAAAACUCAAAGGAAUUGACGGGG